ensembl:lncRNA novel transcript, antisense to TSHR
GGGGCAUUGGGCUCUGUCUUUCGGCCCCUCGGGGUCAGACCCCUGCUGUGUUGGGGGAUCCGAAGUGCUCCCAAGCUGCCUGGAAAGCAUUCAGGCGGGGUCGCUAGCAAGAACUCAGGCUGGGCAGCGGAGGCGGCACAGUGCACACACUCCUGCAGGAACAACCAGACAGGGGCUUUGGGAGGGGCUGCGUGCAGGGGGUCCCGCAGAACAUAUGCGCCCCAGUCCCGCAGGAAGGACCGCCCUGCUCUCUCUUGGCUCACUGGUGGGGACAGCACUUCCUGGAAUAACGUUGCUUUGGAUUUAACAACAGUUGGGCAAAGGAGGUCGGUAUACAGAUACAGGACAAGAAGAGUGGUGUCAAAGGGAGGCUAAAUCAUUGGUUCUGGCUUCAUCUAAGGAAUUCUUAUGAGAAAUCGAGGGAGAGACUGUCCUGGGAAGUCUGAUGAAACAUAUAUUAAACAGAAUUCUUAAUGAACAAAUCGGCCUUGAAAAGGGAACAUGGUGAAGCAAGACAAAAGAAUUACAAACUUUGACUGAAACUUUCUCCUACCAGGAAUACAGGGACCGCUCACCAGGUUGUGAUGAGAAGGAUCAUCUGAAAUGCUCCAUUGCUCUCAGAAGUUGAGGUAACUUCAUUGGGCCCAAACUGAUAAACUAGGAAUGGCUCAGAAAAUAGCCCCUUAGAAGAACUGUAUGAAGCUUGGAUCCAUUUUUCUGAUACAAAUUUCCCACCAUUCUGGAUUCUGACACCCAACAGAAAGACUGUUAUUUGGCAUCAUGUGAAUUAGCCAGGAGACCUCUAAUUUCCAGCCAUUUCCUCUGGUCUGACCCCUAAACUCAGCUCAUCUGGUUUCUCGUUUCUGAGGGGACAAACACUUCCUAAAAGGCAGACCCUCUGGGGUUCUGAGGAGACCGUCCCUGACAUUGUUUUUACUUCAAGACUACAAGCGAAUGAAAAACAGCUACCUCUCACAAGAGGGCUGGAGCCCUUGAUACAGAACAGAUCUCCAACUGGCUUUUGGACUAAAAUAACUGAACCAACAAGAUAUUUUAGAGGUGAUUAUUUGUUGCAUUUCUCAAAUUAUGAUGAAUUUUAUAGACCCAUAUCUCAUAGGUAUAUCUGUCUUAAUCCUAAAUUAGGGAUUAGUACACUUUUUUUUCCCACAAAUCAUUUUAAGUGUGGAAAUAAUCCCAUAAAUCCCAUCACCCCAUAAGGUUAACUCAUCAAAAUCCUUUCAUCGAGGACUAGGAUUAUACUCUAUCCCAAAUCAAGCCAAGUAAAUAUAGAUGAUGCCAGACCACUAAACAAUGUUUUCUAGAACUCUAAAAGUGCAGAGUAAAUAUCCCUCCUUGGGCCACAUGUGUGGUCUGGUAUGAAGAAAGAGCUUUGGAGGAUGGAAUAUAAGCACUAAUGCUCACUGGCUGUGGGGUCCAGGUGAGUCACUUACACUCCCAGGAAGUCAGUGCCCAAUGUCAUGAGAACUUACUAAAGCCCAUGGCUCAUAACAGAGUAUGGUGGACAAUAAAGAGUAGCUGUAAAUUUUUAUUGGCUGGAAAACUCUUAGAGAACAGAGCAUGUGUAUUUAUCUUUGUAGUUUAUCAUAAUGGCACGUACAAAUCCUUUAUAAACAUCUGUUUAUUGGAGAAAAAACCUACUUAUAUGUCUCAAAAAUUGUGUACAUCUGUUAAGACUUUCCUUGUAUUGCCAAGUCAAUCCUAAGCCAAAAGAACAAAGCUGGAGGCAUCACACUACCUGACUUCAAACUAUACUACAAGGCUACAGUAACCAAAACAGCAUGGUACUGGCACCAAAACAGAGACAUAGAUCAAUGGAACAGAACAGAGCCCUCAGAAAUAACGCCGCAUAUCUACAACUAUCUGAUCUUUGACAAACCUGAGAAAAACAAGCAAUGAGGAAAGGAUUCCCUAUUUAAUAAAUGGUGCUGGGAAAACGGGCUAGCCAUAUGUAGAAAGCUGAAACUGGAUCCCUUCCUUACACCUUAUACAAAAAUCAAUUCAAGAUGGAUUAAAGACUUAAACGUUAGACCUAAAACCAUAAAAACCCUAGAAGAAAACCUAGGCACUACCAUUCAGGACAUAGGCAUGGGCAAGGACUUCAUGUCUAAAACACCAAAAGCAAUAGCAACAAAAGCCAAAAUUGACAAAUGGGAUCUAAUUAAACUAAAGAACUUCUGCACAGCAAAAGAAACUACCAUCAGAGUGAACAGGCAACCUACAAAAUGGGAGAAAAUUUUCGCAACCUAGUCAUCUGACAAAGGGCUAAUAUCCAGAAUCUACAAUGAACUCAAACAAAUUUACAAGAAAAAAACAAACAACCCCAUCAAAAAGUGGGCGAAGGACAUGAACAGACACUUCUCAAAAGAAGACAUUUAUGCAGCCAAAAAACACAUGAAAAAAUGCUCACCAUCACUGGCCACCAGAGAAAUGCAAAUCAAAACCACAAUGAGAUACCAUCUCACACCAGUUAGAAUGGCAAUCAUUAAAAAGUCAGGAAACAACAAGUCCUGGAGAGGAUGUGGAGAAAUAGGAACACUUUUACACUGUUGGUGGGACUGUAAACUAGUUCAACCAUUGUGGAAGUCAGUGUGGCGAUUCCUCAGGGAUCUAGAACUAGAAAUACCAUUUGACCCAGCCAUCCCAUUACUGGGUAUAUACCCAAAGGACUAUAAAUCACGCUGCUAUAAAGACACAUGCACACGUAUGUUUAUUGCGGCAUUAUUCACAAUAGCAAAGACUUGGAACCAAGCCAAAUGUCCAACAAUGAUAGACUGGAUUAAGAAAAUGUGGCACAUAUACACCAUGGAAUACUAUGCAGCCAUAAAAAAUGAUGAGUUCAUGUCCUUUGUAGGGACAUGGAUGAAAUUGGAAAUCAUCAUUCUUAGUAAACUAUCGCAAGAACAAAAAACCAAACACCGCAUAUUCUCACUCAUAGGUGGGAAUUGAACAAUGAGAACAUAUGGACACAGGAAGGGGAACAUCACACUCUGGGGACUGUUGUGGG